GACGUAGGGGGCGAGCGUUGCCCGGAUUCAUUGGGCGUAAAGCGCGCGUAGGCGGUUCGGAAAGUCGGAUGUGAAAACCCGGAGCUCAACUCCGGGCCUGCAUCCGAUACUCCCGGACUAGAGGUAGGUAGGGGAGAUCGGAAUUCCUGGUGUAGCGGUGAAAUGCGCAGAUAUCAGGAGGAACACCGGUGGCGAAGGCGGAUCUCUGGGCCGAUACUGACGCUGAGGAGCGAAAGCGUGGGGAGCGAACAGG
rnacentral:rRNA from 1 species